rnacentral:rRNA from 1 species
CUACGGGGCGCACCAGUGAGGAAUAUUGCACAAUGGGGGGAACCCUGAUGCAGCAACGCCGCGUGGAGGAUGACGCAUUUCGGUGUGUAAACUCCUUUUAUAUGUCAAGAAAAUGACGGUAGCAUAUGAAUAAGCACCGGCUAACUCCGUGCCAGCAGCCGCGGUAAUACGGAGGGUGCAAGCGUUACUCGGAAUCACUGGGCGUAAAGGACGCGUAGGCGGGCUUGUAAGUCAGGUGUGAAAUCCUACAGCUUAACUGUAGAACUGCACUUGAAACUACGAGCCUAGAGUAUGGGAGGGGCAGAUGGAAUUAGUGGUGUAGGGGUAAAAUCCGUAGAUAUCACUAGGAAUACCUAAAGCGAAGGCGAUCUGCUGGAACAUAACUGACGCUAAGGCGUGAAAGCGUGGGGAGCAAACAGGAUUAGAUACCCCGGUAGUC